rnacentral:rRNA from 1 species
UACAGAGGGGGCAAGCGUUGUUCGGAAUUACUGGGCGUAAAGGGCGCGUAGGCGGCCCGCUAAGUCGAACGUGAAAUCCCCGAGCUCAACUCGGGAACUGCGUCCGAUACUGGCGGGCUUGAAUCCGGGAGAGGGAUGCGGAAUUCCAGGUGUAGCGGUGAAAUGCGUAGAUAUCAGGAGGAACACCUAUUGCGAAGGCAGCUCGCUGGGACGUAACUGACGCUGAGACGCGAAAGCGUGGGGAGCAAACAGG